GGGCGUCCGUCCGUCUGUCCGUCCGUCCAGGCGUCUGUCUGUCCGUCCUUCUGCCCAUCCAGGCGUCUGUCUGUCCGUCCUUCUGCCCAUCCAGGCGUCUGUCUGUCCGUCCAGGCGUCUGUCUUUCCAUCCGUCUGUCUGUCCAGGAGUCUGUCUGACUGUCUGUCUGUCCGUCCAGGCAUCUGUCCAUCCCUCUGCCCAUCCAGGCGUCUGUCGGUUCGUCCCUCUGCCCAUCCAGGCGUCCGUCCAUCCGUCCUUCUGCCCAUCCAGGCGUCUGUCUGUCCGUCCACCCAUCCUUCUGCCCGUCCAGGUGCCUGUCUGUCCGUCCGUCCGUCUGUCCGUGCAGGUAUCUGUCUGUCUGCCCAUCCAGGUGCCCGUCUGUCCGUCCAUCCUUCUGCCCAUCCAGGAGUCUGUCCGUCCGUCCGUCCAGGCGUCUGUCUUUCCGUCCGUCUGUCCAUCCAGGCAUCUGUCUGUCUGUCCGUCCAGGUGUCUGCCCGUCCGUCCUUCUGCCCGUCCAGGCAUCUGUCUGUCCAUCCUUCUGCCCAUCCAGGUGUCUGUCUGUCUGCCCGUCCAGGCGUCUGUCUGUCCGUCCUUCUGCCCUUCUGGGUGUCUGUCUGUCCGUCCCUCCGUCCAUCCAUGUCUGCCCAUCCGGGUGCCCACCUGUCCGUCCGUCCGUCCGUUCACCCGUCUGUCUGUCCAUCCGUCCUUCUGUCCGUCCGGAUGUCUGUCUGCCCAUCCGCCCGCUGUCCGCCCAUCUGUCCACGUGUCCUCCUGCCCAUCCGUCUGUCUACCCAGAUGUCCACCCGUCUGUCCGUCCGUCUGUCCGUCCAGGUGCCUGUCUGCCUGUCUGUCUGCUUGUCCCUAUGUCUGUCUGUCUGCUUGUCCCUCUGUCUUUCUGCUUGUCCCUCUGUCUUUCUGCUUGUCCCUCUGUCUGUCUGUCUGCCUGUCCACCCAGCUGUCCCUCUGUCUGCCUGGUUGUCUCUCUGUCCUUUCUAUCUGUCCGUCCGUCCGCCUGCCCAGCCGUCCCUCUGCCAGGCUGUCAGUCCGUCUGUCCACCCGGUUGUCCAUCUGUCCGUCUUUCUGCUUAUCCCCACCCGUCUGCCCGGCUGUUCCUUUGUCUGUCUGUCCGGUUGUCCCUUUGUCCCGCUGUCCCUCCAUUUGGAUGUCCCUCCGUCCGUCCGUCUGUCCGUCCGUCUGUCCCUCCAUCCUCCAACCGCUCCGUCCAUCUGAGUGUUCCCCUGUCUGUCCGUCUGUCUGUCCGGCUAUCCCUCCCUCUGUCCAUCCAGUUGUCCCCCUGUCCAGCUGUCUGCUCCCCUGGAUGUCCAUCUGUCUGUCUGUCUGUCUGGUUGUCCCUUUGCCCAGCUGUCCGCCUGUCCGGGCGCCGCCUUGGCCAUCUGUCCAUCCAGGUGUCCGUCUGUCCUGCCAUCCUUCCAUCCAGGUGUCCAUCCACCUGUCCACCCACUUGCCCGUCUAUCUGUCUGUCCGGCUGUCUGUCUGUCCACUUUAGCAUCCAUCUGGCUGUCCCCGUUGUCCACCUUUCUGUCCGGG
ensembl:lncRNA